UAGUGGCGAACGGGUGAGUAACACGUGAGUAACCUGCCCUUAACUCUGGGAUAAGCCUGGGAAACUGGGUCUAAUACCGGAUAGGAGCGCCUACCGCAUGGUGGGUGUUGGAAAGAUUUAUCGGUUUUGGAUGGACUCGCGGCCUAUCAGCUUGUUGGUGAGGUAAUGGCUCACCAAGGCGACGACGGGUAGCCGGCCUGAGAGGGUGACCGGCCACACUGGGACUGAGACACGGCCCAGACUCCUACGGGAGGCAGCAGUGGGGAAUAUUGCACAAUGGGCGCAAGCCUGAUGCAGCGACGCCGCGUGAGGGAUGACGGCCUUCGGGUUGUAAACCUCUUUCAGUAGGGAAGAAGCGAAAGUGACGGUACCUGCAGAAGAAGCACCGGCUAACUACGUGCCAGCAGCCGCGGUAAUACGUAGGGUGCGAGCGUUAUCCGGAAUUAUUGGGCGUAAAGAGCUCGUAGGCGGUUUGUCGCGUCUGUCGUGAAAGUCCGGGGCUUAACCCCGGAUCUGCGGUGGGUACGGGCAGACUAGAGUGCAGUAGGGGAGACUGGAAUUCCUGGUGUAGCGGUGGAAUGCGCAGAUAUCAGGAGGAACACCGAUGGCGAAGGCAGGUCUCUGGGCUGUAACUGACGCUGAGGAGCGAAAGCAUGGGGAGCGAACAGGAUUAGAUACCCUGGUAGUCCAUGCCGUAAACGUUGGGCACUAGGUGUGGGGACCAUUCCACGGUUUCCGCGCCGCAGCUAACGCAUUAAGUGCCCCGCCUGGGGAGUACGGCCGCAAGGCUAAAACUCAAAGGAAUUGACGGGGGCCCGCACAAGCGGCGGAGCAUGCGGAUUAAUUCGAUGCAACGCGAAGAACCUUACCAAGGCUUGACAUGUUCUCGAUCGCCGUAGAGAUACGGUUUCCCCUUUGGGGCGGGUUCACAGGUGGUGCAUGGUUGUCGUCAGCUCGUGUCGUGAGAUGUUGGGUUAAGUCCCGCAACGAGCGCAACCCUCGUUCCAUGUUGCCAGCACGUAAUGGUGGGGACUCAUGGGAGACUGCCGGGGUCAACUCGGAGGAAGGUGAGGACGACGUCAAAUCAUCAUGCCCCUUAUGUCUUGGGCUUCACGCAUGCUACAAUGGCCGGUACAAUGGGUUGCGAUACUGUGAGGUGGAGCUAAUCCCAAAAAGCCGGUCUCAGUUCGGAUUGGGGUCUGCAACUCGACCCCAUGAAGUCGGAGUCGCU
rnacentral:rRNA from 1 species